GAUGAAGAACGCAGCGAAAUGCGAUACUUGGUGUGAAUUGCAGAAUCCCGUGAACCAUCGAGUCUUUGAACGCAAGUUGCGCCCGAAGCCAUUUGGUUGAGGGCACGUCUGCCUGGGCGUCACAUAUCGUUGCCCGAUGCCUAGUGCACUGUGAUAGGAAAUUCUAGGGCGAAAGAUGGCUUCCCGUGAGCGUUGUUGCCUCGCGGUUGGUUGAAAAUUGAGUCCUUGGUAGGGUGUGCCAUGAUAGAUGGUGGUCGAGUUUGCACGAGACCGAUCAUGUGUGCGCUCCCCAAAAUAUGGACUCUUUGACCCCACACGCGUCUUUUGACGCUCAUGACGAGACCUCAGGUCAGGCGGGGCUACCCGCUGAGUUUAAGCAUAUCAAUAAGCGGAGGA
rnacentral:misc_RNA from 1 species